GGGGUGGGGUCCCGGGUCUGCUCAGGAGCUGGGGCAUGGGCACUUGGAACGAGGAUUGCUCUCCCGCCCCCACUAUUGUACGGACGACAACGCGGAGGCCUGGCAUUCUCUCCCAGCCUAGAAACUGAUCCCUAGUCAGCCCUCUAGCAUCUGUUGAAUGGGAAGCUUAGACCGUGAUCGGGCCGCGACGCCCCGCUUCCAUUAGUGCGCCGAAAUAGAGGGUCACUUCGUCAGCUGAGACCUCCCUUUUCUCCAGGCCACGGGGACAGACCAGGUGGUGGGACUCGGCCUCGUCGCCGUUAGCCUGAUCAUCUUCACCUACUACACCGCCUGGGUGAUUCUCUUGGACUGUUCAUCUCCUACGUGAUGCUGAAGAGCAAGAGAGUGCCCAAGAAGGCUCAGUGAAGGUCCCGCGGGGAUGAGGCUGCCAGCCCCUUCUCUGCUUCCCCUCCAGCACAGGGACCAAGUUGGGGAGCCUGCAGAACCUGUCCAGGCACAGUGGCUCCUCAAGCCUGCCUGUCCUGCAGAGUCCCCAUGGCAUGGAGUUUACCCCUGACUGACUGGAGCCCCCUCCCCGACUCCCACUUCCAGAAGCUAGGAGGGAGGGAUACCUGGAAGACUCCGGUCACCCCCUUCUUGCUCAGGGCCUAAAAGUUGCUGGUCCUCCCAACCUCACUCUCAGACUCCCUGCCACCUUUUUCCCUGGGUUCUGCCAUCUUGCCUCACUUCCCCUCCUGUCACUUG
rnacentral:sRNA from 1 species